rnacentral:rRNA from 1 species
AAAGACGGGGGACGUACGGAUUAUUGGGCGUAAGAGCUCGUAGGCGGUUUGUCGCGUCUGCUGUGAAAUCCGGAGGCUCAACCUCCGGCCUGCAGUGGGUACGGGCAGACUAGAGUGCGGUAGGGGAGAUUGGAAUUCCUGGUGUAGCGGUGGAAUGCGCAGAUAUCAGGAGGAACACCGAUGGCGAAGGCAGAUCUCUGGGCCGUAACUGACGCUGAGGAGCGAAAGGGUGGGGAGCAAACAGGCUUAGAUACCCUGGUAGUCCACCCCGUAAACGUUGGGAACUAGUUGUGGGGUCCAUUCCACGGAUUCCGUGACGCAGCUAACGCAUUAAGUUCCCCGCCUGGGGAGUACGGCCGCAAGGCUAAAACUCAAAGGAAUUGACGGGGACCCGCACAAGCGGCGGAGCAUGCGGAUUAAUUCGAUGCAACGCGAAGAACCUUACCAAGGCUUGACAUAUACGAGAACGGGCCAGAAAUGGUCAACUCUUUGGACACUCGUAAACAGGUGGUGCAUGGUUGUCGUCAGCUCGUGUCGUGAGAUGUUGGGUUAAGUCCCGCAACGAGCGCAACCCUCGUUCUAUGUUGCCAGCACGUAAUGGUGGGAACUCAUGGGAUACUGCCGGGGUCAACUCGGAGGAAGGUGGGGAUGACGUCAAAUCAUCAUGCCCCUUAUGUCUUGGGCUUCACGCAUGCUACAAUGGCCGGUACAAAGGGCUGCAAUACCGCGAGGUGGAGCGAAUCCCAAAAAGCCGGUCCCAGUUCGGAUUGAGGUCUGCAACUCGACCUCAUGAAGUCGGAGUCGCUAGUAAUCGCAGAUCAGCAACGCUGCGGUGAAUACGUUCCCGGGUCUUGUACACACCGCCCGUCAAGUCAUGAAAGUCGGUAACACCUGAAGCCGGUGGCCUAACCCUUGUGGAGGGAGCCGUCGAGGUGGAUCGGUAAUAGGACUAAGUCGUACCAAGUAGCCAUUGG